rnacentral:tRNA from 1 species
AGCGGGGUGGAGCAGUCUGGUAGCUCGUUGGGCUCAUAACCCAAAGGUCGGCAGUUCAAAUCUGCCCCCCGCAACCA